rnacentral:rRNA from 1 species
CACAUGCAGUCGAACGGAGUUACUUUGGUGAAGUUUUCGGAUGGAUCUGAUUUAACUUAGUGGCGGACGGGCGAGUAAUGCGUGAGCAACCUGCCCUUCAGAGGGGGACAACAGUUGGAAACGACUGCUAAUACCGCAUAAUGUAUUCGGAAGGCAUCUUCUGGAUACCAAAGGAGAAAUCCGCUGAUGGAUGGGCUCACGUCUGAUUAGCUAGUUGGUGAGGUAACGGCUCACCAAGGCUGCGAUCAGUAGCCGGACUGAGAGGUUGAACGGCCACAUUGGGACUGAGAUACGGCCCAGACUCCUACGGGAGGCAGCAGUGGGGAAUAUUGGGCAAUGGGCGAAAGCCUGACCCAGCAACGCCGCGUGAAGGAAGAAGGCCUUCGGGUUGUAAACUUCUUUUAAGAGGGACGAAGAAGUGACGGUACCUCUUGAGUAGGCCACGGCUAACUACGUGCCAGCAGCCGCGGUAAUACGUAGGUGGCGAGCGUUAUCCGGAUUUACUGGGUGUAAAGGGCGCGUAGGCGGGAAUGCAAGUCAGAUGUGAAAUCCAAGGGCUCAACCCUUGAACUGCAUUUGAAACUGUAUUUCUUGAGUGUCGGAGAGGUUGACGGAAUUCCUAGUGUAGCGGUGAAAUGCGUAGAUAUUAGGAGGAACACCAGUGGCGAAGGCGGUCAACUGGACGAUAACUGACGCUGAGGCGCGAAAGCGUGGGGAGCAAACAGGAUUAGAUACCCUGGUAGUCCACGCCAUAACGAUGAAUACUAGGUGUGGGGGGACUGACCCCUUCCGUGCCGCAGUUAACACAAUAAGUAUUCCACCUGGGGAGUACGACCGCAAGGUUGAAACUCAAAGGAAUUGACGGGGGCCCGCACAAGCAGUGGAUUAUGUGGUUUAAUUCGAAGCAACGCGAAGAACCUUACCAGGGCUUGACAUCCAACUAACGAA